UGGGGAAUAUUGCACAAUGGGCGCAAGCCUGAUGCAGCGACGCCGCGUGAGGGAUGGAGGCCUUCGGGUUGUAAACCUCUUUCGCCAGUGAAGCAGGCCAUCUUCUUUGUGGGGUGGUUGACGGUAGCUGGAUAAGAAGCGCCGGCUAACUACGUGCCAGCAGCCGCGGUAAUACGUAGGGCGCGAGCGUUGUCCGGAAUUAUUGGGCGUAAAGAGCUCGUAGGCGGCUGGUCGCGUCUGUCGUGAAAUCCCCUGGCUUAACUGGGGGGUUGCGGUGGGUACGGGCCGGCUUGAGUGCGGUAGGGGAGACUGGAAUUACUGGUGUAGCGGUGGAAUGCGCAGAUAUCAGGAGGAACACCGGUGGCGAAGGCGGGUCUCUGGGCCGUUACUGACGCUGAGGAGCGAAAGCGGGGGGAGCGAACAGG
rnacentral:rRNA from 1 species